GAGUUUGAUCUUGGCUCAGAUUGAACGCUGGCGGCAUGCCUUACACAUGCAAGUCGAACGGCAGCACGGGAGCUUGCUCCUGGUGGCGAGUGGCGAACGGGUGAGUAAUGCAUCGGAACGUAUCCUGGAGUGGGGGGAUAACGUAGCGAAAGUUACGCUAAUACCGCAUAUUCUGUGAGCAGGAAAGCGGGGGACCUUCGGGCCUCGCGCUCUUGGAGCGGCCGAUGUCGGAUUAGCUAGUUGGUGAGGUAAAGGCUCACCAAGGCGACGAUCCGUAGCAGGUCUGAGAGGAUGAUCUGCCACACUGGAACUGAGACACGGUCCAGACUCCUACGGGAGGCAGCAGUGGGAAUUUGGACAAUGGGGCAACCCUGAUCCAGCCAUGCCGCGUGAGU
rnacentral:rRNA from 1 species